GAUUGAAGAACGUAGCAAAAUGCGAUAAGUAAUGUGAAUUGCAGAAUUCAGUGAAUCAUCGAAUCUUUGAACGCACAUUGCGCCCGCCAGUAUUCUGGCGGGCAUGCCUGUUCGAGCGUCAUUUCAACCCUCAAGCACAGCUUGGUGUUGGGACUCGCGUUAAUUCGCGUUCCCCAAAUUGAUUGGCGGUCACGUCGAGCUUCCAUAGCGUAGUAGUAAAACCCUCGUUACUGGUAAUCGUCGCGGCCACGCCGUUAAACCCCAACUUCUGAAUGUUGACCUCGGAUCAGGUAGGAAUACCCGCUGAACUUAAGCAUAUCAAUAAGCGGAGGA
rnacentral:misc_RNA from 1 species